rnacentral:rRNA from 1 species
AUUGAACGCUGGCGGCAUGCCUUACACAUGCAAGUCGAACGGCAGCACGGGGCAACCUGGUGGCGAGUGGCGAACGGGUGAGUAAUGCAUCGGAACGUACCUUUCAGUGGGGGAUAACGUAGCGAAAGUUGCGCUAAUACCGCAUAUUCUGUGAGCAGGAAAGCAGGGGAUCGCAAGACCUUGCGCUGAUUGAGCGGCCGAUGUCAGAUUAGCUAGUUGGUGAGGUAAAGGCUCACCAAGGCGACGAUCUGUAGCGGGUCUGAGAGGAUGAUCCGCCACACUGGAACUGAGACACGGUCCAGACUCCUACGGGAGGCAGCAGUGGGGAAUUUUGGACAAUGGGGGCAACCCUGAUCCAGCCAUGCCGCGUGAGUGAAGAAGGCCCUCGGGUUGUAAAGCUCUUUCGGCCGGGAAGAAAUCGCACGGGCUAAUACCCUGUGUGGAUGACGGUACCGGAAUAAGAAGCACCGGCUAACUACGUGCCAGCAGCCGCGGUAAGAC